UGCCAGCAGCCGCGGUAAUACGAAGGGUGCUAGCGUUGUUCGGAAUCACUGGGCAUAAAGAGCACGUAGGCGGUUUGGUUAGUCUGAUGUGAAAUCCCCCGGCUCAACCGGGGAACUGCAUCGGAUACUGCCUGACUAGAGUGCAGGAGGGGAGAGUGGAAUUCCUGGUGGAGCGGUGAAAUGCGUAGAUAUCAGGAGGAACAUCGGUGGCGAAGGCGACUUCCUGGCUCGUAUCUGACGCUGAGACGCGAAAGCGUGGGGAGCGAACGGGAUUAGAUA
rnacentral:rRNA from 1 species